AACGCACAUUGCGCCUCCUGGUAUUCCGGGAGGCAUGCCUGUUCGAGCGUCAUUAAAUACCUCUCAAGCAAAUUUGCUUGGUCGUGGAAGAUGAGUAUGCUUGCAUUCUCCCUUCUGAAAUUCAAAGGCGGAUGAUCUCAUAUCCCCAGGUGUAGUAAGUUUAUCUUUUCGCUUGGUGUGUGUGAUUGCCCUGCCGUUGACCUCCAUUUUUUUCAAGGUUGACCUCGGAUCAGGUAGGGAUACCCGCUGAACUUAA
rnacentral:misc_RNA from 3 species